rnacentral:misc_RNA from 1 species
GAUGAAGAACGCAGCGAAAUGCGAUACGUAAUGUGAAUUGCAGAAUUCAGUGAAUCAUCGAGUCUUUGAACGCACAUUGCGCCCCCUGGUAUUCCGAGGGGCAUGCCUGUUCGAGCGUCAUUUCAACCCUCAAGCACAGCUUGGUCUUGGGCUUCGCCGCUAACCCGGCGGGUCUUAAAAUCAGUGGCGGUGCCGUCGGGCCCUGAGCGCAGUAAUCUCUCUCGCUAUAGGGUCCCGGCGGAUGCUGGCCAGUAACCCCCAAUUUUCUAUGGUUGACCUCGGAUCAGGUAGGGAUACCCGCUGAACUUAAGCAUAUCAAUAAGCGGAGGA